rnacentral:rRNA from 1 species
CCUACGGGGGGCAGCAGUAGGGAAUAUUGCACAAUGGGGGAAACCCUGAAGCAGCAACGCCGCGUGGAGGAUGAAGGUUUUCGGAUUGUAAACUCCUUUUGUUAGAGAAGAUAAUGACGGUAUCUAACGAAUAAGCACCGGCUAACUCCGUGCCAGCAGCCGCGGUAAUACGGAGGGUGCAAGCGUUACUCGGAAUCACUGGGCGUAAAGAGAGCGUAGGCGGGAAAGCAAGUCAGAUGUGAAAGCCUAUGGCUUAACCAUAGGACUGCUUUUGAAACUGUUGUGCUAGAGUGUGGGAGAGGUAAGUGGAAUUCUUGGUGUAGGGGUAAAAUCCGUAGAGAUCAAGAGGAAUACUCGUGGCGAAGGCGACCUACUAGAACAUAACUGACGCUGAUGCGCGAAAGCGUGGGGAGCAAACAGGAUUAGAUACCCGAGUAGUC